ensembl:snRNA U6 U6 spliceosomal RNA
GUGCUCGCCUUGGCAGCAUAUAUACUAAAAUUAGAAUCAUACAGAAAAGAUUAGCAUGGCCCCUGUGCAAGGAUGACAGGCAAAUCCAUGAAGCAUUCUAUUAUUUA